CAGAGUUCGUGCCCGUCUGGGUAGAUCUCCCACCCACUGUCAUCACUACAAUUGUUGCUUUGGCGGGACGCCGGGCCCCGCCCGGCCGCCAGCCCUCGGGUGGUGCGUGCCCGCCAGAGGCCCUAUAGGCUCUGAAUAUUAGUGUCGUCUGAGUACUAUAUAAUAGUUA
rnacentral:misc_RNA from 1 species